rnacentral:rRNA from 1 species
GAGGGUUUGAUCCUGGCUCAGGAUGAACGCUGGCGGCGUGCCUAAUACAUGCAAGUCGAGCGAACGGACGAGAAGCUUGCUUCUCUGAUGUUAGCGGCGGACGGGUGAGUAACACGUGGAUAACCUACCUAUAAGACUGGGAUAACUUCGGGAAACCGGAGCUAAUACCGGAUAAUAUUUUGAACCGCAUGGUUCAAAAGUGAAAGACGGUCUUGCUGUCACUUAUAGAUGGAUCCGCGCUGCAUUAGCUAGUUGGUAAGGUAACGGCUUACCAAGGCAACGAUGCAUAGCCGACCUGAGAGGGUGAUCGGCCACACUGGAACUGAGACACGGUCCAGACUCCUACGGGAGGCAGCAGUAGGGAAUCUUCCGCAAUGGGCGAAAGCCUGACGGAGCAACGCCGCGUGAGUGAUGAAGGUCUUCGGAUCGUAAAACUCUGUUAUUAGGGAAGAACAUAUGUGUAAGUAACUGUGCACAUCUUGACGGUACCUAAUCAGAAAGCCACGGCUAACUACGUGCCAGCAGCCGCGGUAAUACGUAGGUGGCAAGCGUUAUCCGGAAUUAUUGGGCGUAAAGCGCGCGUAGGCGGUUUUUUAAGUCUGAUGUGAAAGCCCACGGCUCAACCGUGGAGGGUCAUUGGAAACUGGAAAACUUGAGUGCAGAAGAGGAAAGUGGAAUUCCAUGUGUAGCGGUGAAAUGCGCAGAGAUAUGGAGGAACACCAGUGGCGAAGGCGACUUUCUGGUCUGUAACUGACGCUGAUGUGCGAAAGCGUGGGGAUCAAACAGGAUUAGAUACCCUGGUAGUCCACGCCGUAAACGAUGAGUGCUAAGUGUUAGGGGGUUUCCGCCCCUUAGUGCUGCAG